GACAGAGGGGGCAAGCGUUGCUCGGAAUUACUGGGCGUAAAGGGCGCGUAGGCGGGAUGGCAAGUCGGUCGUGAAAUCCCUCGGCUCAACCGAGGAACGUCGAUCGAUACUGCUGUUCUUGAGGAUUGCAGAGGAGACUGGAAUUCCCGGUGUAGCGGUGAAAUGCGUAGAGAUGUGGAGGAACACCAGUGGCGAAGGCGGCUUUCUGGUCUGUAACUGACGCUGAGGCGCGAAAGCGUGGGGAGCAAACAGG
rnacentral:rRNA from 1 species